CUUUGCAAUCACUCUGUAUAUUUGUUGUCAUUUUCUCUUUCUUUGUGGUUGCUUUAUGUCUUUUUCAGCUUAUUUGAACACCUGACCAACAAGAAGUGUUAACACAAGUCAAACAGAGACAGGGGUCUGGGGGUCUGAGGGUUUAGGGGCCCCUGGGCCUGUGGACAGUAGUCAAACCGGUAAUCCAUCCCUGCUGCUACCUGUCACCUUCUUCCUCAGUUGGUGACGUCACUCAGCCGGAGCGCAGCGCGUGCAGCGCCGCUCUGUAUGGUGAGCUCGCGACCGGGGCCACAGGGAAGCUUGGAGAAAGUCUUUAACCGAAACCCAACGCAGCGGCAGUACUGGUCUUAGGACUACAAGACAUUUGAACAGUUUCGCACCUCCGGAGCCGCCGAACACCGAGCCCAAGUGUUGAAGUAACCCGGGAGGACGUUUCGACGUACAACGUUGUGUUGAGGCAGACAAGAGGACAGUAAAGCACAAAGAAGGAAAGAAAGAACGGGGGAGAGAUGGCCGAGGCACGGUCUGAAGAACAGGAGGACGUGACGAGGGACACCCGGGAACAAGUGGCCCGACGACAGCCAAACAGCUCCGGAGGUAAAGGAGCGAAAACAUUAACGCAGCUCGUUUUAAACGGAUUCCAUCUGAUAUCGAUUGAAACAGUCGAUAUCUGUGUGACAGUUCAAUUGUCAAGCUUAGGGUGAAAAUAAAGACUUAAGGUGCAGCUAUAG